UGGUGGAGUGAUUUGUCUGGUUGAUUCCGUUAACGAACGAGACCUCGACCUCUAGUUAGUUUCAUACAAAAUUAUUUUGUAUUGAAAUUUCUGAAUUGGGACUAUCGGUGUGUAGCCGAUGGAAGUUCGAGGCAAUAACA
rnacentral:rRNA from 1 species